UGGUAACUUUGGUUACAAGAGUUUGAAAAAUGAGGAACUGAGAAGAAGAGUCAUGUCCGCUUUAUAGGAGCAAUUUAGACUGCACACUGCUUCAUUUCUCCGGAGAUGAAUGGCUUGAAGUGGCAGGGAAUCAGGCCAUCCUGAUGAAAGCAAUUUUCUGACAAUUGUCUAAGAGGGAAGAUGUGGAGGAUUGACUAAUCCAUGGACCAUCUGCCUCCUGAAUUUCCCAUUUCACAAUUCGAGAGGCUACUCACAUUCCUUGGCUCAAGGCCCCCUCACAUCUUCAAAGCCAGACCUGGUUGGACAAGUCUUUCUCACAUACUUGGAAACUAAUUCUUCUGCAUCCAUGUUCUGCAAGGACACUUGAGGUUGCAUUGGGCUUGUCCAGAGUUAAAGAAGAUCCUUGGCAAACAUUCUAUCACUGAGCUACAGCCCCAGGCCCUAUCAUGAAAGACUUUUUAAUGGGCUAGGCUGAAAGCAGAAAAGUUUUGGGCUCUGGCAAUACCCAAAGAGGAAGGGAAGGAAGAAGAUACCUGAAGAGGACUGUCUGAUUUGGGGGAAAUACACUGGCCCCAGCAAUGUGUUGGGCCUCAGAAGAGUCACACAGUAGAGCACACUGUCUCUGGAACCUGGCCUUGAGCAGUGACCUCCGUAGCUGCAGCAGGAUCAAGUUCUGGUCUGCAUUGUAAUUCCUGGGAUGUCCUUGGCAUUAAGAAGGCUAUGCUAAAACCACAACCCAGUGUCAUUUUAUGAUUGGAAUUAAGUACUGGGGGAAGGGAGGGGAAGCAGACAGAGGCACUGUUAGGGGACAGCAAGAUGCAGAGAGCAAAGGAAUGAAGAGCCAUCAUCAGAAAUGGCCCUGGCAAGCACAAAUCUCUGUGGAUUUGUGGAAUAAGUAAUAACUUCCUGCGAUACUCAGUAAACACUGGUAGGGAGAAUGCAAAAUAAGAGAUUUGAGCAGGAAUUUGGAAAGAAGUCUUGAAGUAAGAUUUGGAGCUUAAAGAGAAGGAUAUCUUCUGCAGGCUUAAGAAGUUGAAAUUUGGAAUGAGCUGGUGGUGAUAUAGGAAUCUAAACCUCUCUUCUUCUUAGAUUAAAGCUGAACUAAUAUUUUAGUGCUCAGACAUUCAAUAAAGCUUCAAGUGUUUGCUAGGAGCAAAGUGUUAUACUGGAAGAAAGGGUAUGAAGACAAAUGUAUGAAGGAUAAAAAGGAAGUACAUUCCCCCUCUUAUGAGCAUUUUCUUAAUGGUAAGACAGUUGAAAUGUUCAUGGCUGAUAUCAGCCUUCUCAACAGGGUCGACAUUACCCCCAAAGAGGCAAAACAACAACGAAAAAACCCUUUGUAUUACAAUAGUCUAUGGACCUUCAAAGGGCAAAAGCACAUAAACCAAGUAUAUGUCUAGUAUUAAAAUUUUGAGGUUGGGGUAGAGAUUAAGACUAAAUGUAUAUAAGAAAAUUAACAAAAAACAAAUUGAAAAACAUUGAUAUGUGCUAAAAUAGUUCAGUUUGGUUAAGAAACAUAAAACUAUAACCAUGUACUUACAAAGUUUUUUUUUC